AGAGUUUGAUCAUGGCUCAGAUUGAACGCUGGCGGCAUGCCUUACACAUGCAAGUCGAACGGCAGCACGGGGGCAACCCUGGUGGCGAGUGGCGAACGGGUGAGUAAUAUAUCGGAACGUGCCCUGGAGUGGGGGAUAACUAGUCGAAAGACUAGCUAAUACCGCAUACGAUCUAAGGAUGAAAGUGGGGGAUCGCAAGACCUCAUGCUCGUGGAGCGGCCGAUAUCUGAUUAGCUAGUUGGUAGGGUAAAAGCCUACCAAGGCAUCGAUCAGUAGCUGGUCUGAGAGGAUGAUCAGCCACACUGGGACUGAGACACGGCCCAGACUCCUACGGGAGGCAGCAGUGGGGAAUAUUGCGCAAUGGGCGGAAGCCUGACGCAGCGACGCCGCGUGAGGGACGAAGGCCUUCGGGUUGUAAACCUCUUUCAGCAGGGACGAAGCGAAAGUGACGGUACCUGCAGAAGAAGCACCGGCCAACUACGUGCCAGCAGCCGCGGUAAUACGAAGGGGGCUAGCGUUGCUCGGAAUCACUGGGCGUAAAGGGCGCGUAGGCGGCCAUUCAAGUCGGGGGUGAAAGCCUGUGGCUCAACCACAGAAUUGCCUUCGAUACUGUUUGGCUUGAGACCGGAAGAGGUAAGUGGAACUGCGAGUGUAGAGGUGAAAUUCGUAGAUAUUCGGAGGAACACCAGUGGCGAAGGCGGUUCUCUGGGCCUUUCCUGACGCUGAGGAGCGAAAGCGUGGGGAGCGAACAGGCUUAGAUACCCUGGUAGUCCACGCUGUAAACGGUGGGUACUAGGUGUGGGGUCCAUUCCACGGGUUCCGUGCCGUAGCUAACGCUUUAAGUACC
rnacentral:rRNA from 1 species